GCCAGCUCAUGGGUGAGGUCUCUGCUCAGCAGCAUCCAAGGCCAGGGAAGGAGAUGGGGGCCCAGGCUCAGCUCCUCUGCUCUCUGCUGCUCUGGAUCUCAGGUUCCAGAGGGGCCAUUGUGGUGACUCAGUCGCCAGAAUUUUUGUCAGUGUCUCCAGGAGAGAGGGUCACCAUUAACUGCAAGACCAGCUCGAGUGUUAGUAAUUACUUAAAUUGGUACCAACAGAAGCCAGGGGAGGCUCCCAAGCUCCUAAUUUAUGCAGCAACCACCCUGCAGUCUGGGGUCCCUGCCCGGUUCAGUGGCAGUGGGUCUGGCACAGAUUUCUCCCUCACAAUCAGCAACGUGGAGGCUGAGGAUGCUGCAGUCUAUUAUUGUCAACAGAACUAUGGUACUCCUCCCACAGUGAUACAGCCCCGAACAAAAACCUGCCCAGUAGCUGCUGAUGGAGGCAAGAAUCACAGUGACAUAGAACUAAUAAGUGGAUGACACCCAAAGGUGGCUUCUCUAACCUAGACCUGAGCAACAAUUCUGCUUCUAAAUCCCCACAAGUGUUCUCAUAGCCUCUGUUUGAAGACUUCCAGUUCAGGGGGACUAACUACCAAAGGAGUUACGUGGGGUAAUAGACAGAGCCGUAUUGUCAGUAAGACCUGAAUUCAAAGCCAGU